rnacentral:SRP_RNA from 1 species
GCCGGGCAUAGUGGCGCAUGCCUGUAAUCCCAGCUACUCAGGAGGCUGAGGUGGGAGAAUCACUUGAACCCAGGAGGCGGAGGUUGCAGUGAGCCCAGAUCGCACCACUGCACUCCAGCCUGGGCGACAGAGUGAGACUCCGUCUCAA